AAAAUGAUUUAUUUUUGUUUAUUCGUCCGUCUUCACCUCUAACACUCUCUCGCUCCUAGUCAAGUCACUCGUAGCAGCAGCAGCAGCAGCAACGGCGGGGACUUCCCUCCCACAUCCAGAGUCUUUGUCUUAAAAGCGAAAAAGCCGAACACUCUUUUGGAAACAUCAUUCGGAGGUCUAAGAAUAGUUGAAGCUGUUGCAAGAUACAUUGUGUGGCGCUCGAUUCAUAUGCAACCUUUUUGAGUACGUGAUGAUAUCUUCGUAUAUCGAU